rnacentral:rRNA from 1 species
AACGAACGCCGGCGGCAGGCUUAACACAUGCAAGUCGAACGCAUCCUUCGGGGUGAGUGGCAGACGGGUGAGUAACGCGUGGGAACGUGCCCUUCAGUUCGGGAUAACCCAGGGAACCUUGGGCUAUUACCGGAUACGUGCGAGAGCAGAAAGAUUUAUCGCUGAAGGAUCGGCCCGCGUCUGAUUAGCUAGUUGGUGGGGUAAUGGCCCACCAAGGCGACGAUCAGUAGCUGGUCUGAGAGGAUGAUCAGCCACAUUGGGACUGAGACACGGCCCAAACUCCUACGGGAGGCAGCAGUGGGAAUAUUGGACAAUGGGCGCAAGCCUGAUCCAGCCAUGCCGCGGGAGUGAUGAAGGCCUUAGGGUUGUAAAGCUCUUUCGUCCGGGACGAUAAUGACGGUACCGGAAGAAGAAGCCCCGGCUAACUUCGUGCCAGCCGCCGCCGUAA